AAAAACGGUGCCAUUUUAUUUUCACCUCCUCCCCUAAAUCCCCAAUUUUACCCGAAGUUCUUUAUUUUUUUCCCCAUUUGAUUUUCCCAAUUUUGCCCGAAAUCCCUAAAAUUUUUUCUAUUCCUUUGCAUCAUCGUGCUGCAUCUCCGUCGAUAGUCUUUUUCAUUUCUUCAACUUAUUGUUUGUCCUAUUUCUCCUUUUGCUUCCAACCAAAACGAAACUUAGUGACAGCAUUUUUAACUUCUUUUUCUUCUAGUUUUUCUUUUGAAGUCAUAAGAAAACCUAGCAAUAUCUUUCUAUACAUAUAGAAUUAUAUGGUUCAUUCCACAGUUUAGCUCCUGUCUUUAGAACUUAGUUCUCAUAUAUCCUUCACACUAUUUUCUGUGAAUUUUGAUUGUCUCAGGUUAUUUUGUCUUAUUCUUAACUGGUCAAGCAUGCUGAGAAGCUGUCUCUGUUUAUUGCAGUGUUGGUUUGAUAGGAACAAGCUGCUGAGCAGUUUAAGAUUGUCAUACCAAGAAUUCCUGCAUAUUUUAGGGCCAAGAAGAAGCAAGUAAUGUAGUUGAUUAUGGUUAUCUCACUAUCUGUUCUUUUCAAGUUUGGAAAUUAGGAGAAGGUUGUGAAUCCAUUGUUUGAGAAGCGUCCAAAGCAAUUCGGUAUUGGAGGAGCUUUACCUCCAAAGAAGGAUCUGCACCAUUUUGUGAAGUGGCCUAAGGUUGUUCGUAUUCAAAGGAAAAAGAGGAUCCCUAAGUUGAGGUUGAAAGUCCCACCAGCACUGAACCAGUUUAUAAAGACUCUUGAUAAAAAACUUGAGAACACCACAACUGGAACUGUAAACAUUGGGAGUGAAGACUGUGCAAAACUGGUUGAGAAUACUUCUAUUCAAUUCUAGCCCUUCAUUUCAUUAACGCGGGACUAUCUUGCUCGUCGUCUUUUCUGGUGGAUACUGUUGGGGCACUACCUUAGAGGCCUCGAGUAUCGGUUAGAGCUAAUGGAGCUUCUGUCGUUGACAAGCAGUCCUGGCAAUAAUAGUUGUGGUGAUGAGUAGGUUGUUUAGAAUUGCUCUCUGAUUCCAGUGCUACCAUCUGUAUAUAUGUGUGUAAAUCGGCAUAUCGACUAACUUCUUUUACAGGAAGAGUUAUCCACGGACUACUUUUAUCAACUUUGGAUGAUCCUAAUAGAAAACUUUGCAUAGCAAUCAGUAUGGCUGUAGCAGCUAUUGCAGUCUACGACUGGCCAGAAAGUUGGCCAGACUUGUUGCCAUUCUCCUAAAGUUGAUUGGUGAUCAAACUAGCAUGAAUGGAGGAGUUGAGAAGGAAAGAGGAUGCAAUAGCACAGGUGACCAAGAUUCCGUUUAACAAUUUUCUUUAUUGUUGAAACAAGUCUUAACCAAGAUCAAGAUCAAAGUACUUCACUAAGUUAUAUAUGCAGGCAUUUCAAUACUUUGGCUUCAUCUAAGCUUGAACCAACCCUCUGUUGUAUAUUGUUUCUUCUUCUUUUCUGAUCUUUUUCCUUUGUUUAAUGAGAGGUGAUGAUGAUUUGGCAUUAUUUUCUCACUAGGAUGAAUUUUGUUUUAGAAAUUGUAAUACUUUGUGUCUGUGUGUGUGUGUGUGUGUUUAUGUAUUAAAUUACAUAUUGAAUCAAUAUUUAUGUAUUAAAUUUAAAUUCAUUAAUUUUUAUAUUUAGUUUUGAAGUUUAAACUUCAAUGGAAAA